UACGUAGGAGGCAAGCGUUGUCCGGAAUCAUUGGGCGUAAAGCGCGCGUAGGUGGCCAUUUAAGUCCGCUGUGAAAGUCAGAGGCUCAACCUUUGAAAGCCGGUGGAUACUGGAUGGCUAGAGUACGGAAGAGGCGAGUGGAAUUCCUGGUGUAGCGGUGGAAUGCGCAGAUAUCAGGAGGAACACCAAUAGCGAAGGCAGCUCGCUGGGACGUUACUGACGCUGAGACGCGAAAGCGUGGGGAGCAAACAGG
rnacentral:rRNA from 1 species